rnacentral:rRNA from 1 species
UACGUAGGGUGCAAGCGUUAAUCGGAAUUACUGGGCGUAAAGCGUGCGCAGGCGGUUAUGCAAGACAGAUGUGAAAUCCCCGGGCUCAACCUGGGAUCUGCAUUUGUGACUGCAUGGCUAGAGUACGGUAGAGGGGGAUGGAAUUCCGCGUGUAGCAGUGAAAUGCGUAGAUAUGCGGAGGAACACCGAUGGCGAAGGCAGCCCCCUGGGCUGACACUGACGCUGAGGCACGAAAGCGUGGGGAGCAAACAGG